rnacentral:rRNA from 1 species
GAUGUUGGGUUAAGUCCCGCAACGAGCGCAACCCCCGCCUUUAGUUGCUACCGGGUCAUGCCGAGCACUCUAAAGGGACCGCCGGCGUUAAGCCGGAGGAAGGUGGGGAUGACGUCAAGUCCUCAUGGCCCUUAUGUCCAGGGCUACACACGUGCUACAAUGGGCGGUACAGAGGGUUGCCAACCCGCGAGGGGGAGCCAAUCCCAGAAAGCCGUCCUCAGUUCAGAUUGGAGUCUGCAACUCGACUCCAUGAAGGUGGAAUCGCUAGUAAUCGCGGAUCAGCAUGCCGCGGUGAAUACGUUCCCGGGCCUU